AUUGUCGUUUAGAUCUGUUAGGUCCAGAUCAUCGAAGUCGCUGUCAUUCAUUUCUUCGCAGCGAUCGCGAGUGCUUCUUGAUUUAGUGGUGGAUGUGAACUGUCCAUCUUUCUACUCUUCUUUAAUGUUAGCUUGUUCCUUCCUGUCUUAUUCAUAAUAUUAAUGAAAUAAUAGAAGUUGGCUAUCAGAGAUUCUUUUUUCUCUGGUUUUUCCAAACUCAUAAAUAAACACGUGUCAGCACAAUUUGACAAUGGCGAGACUUAAGAAUGCCUUGCAGAAACACUUAUCAAGUGUGAGUCCCUGAGAACAGGAAAUACGGAUCGACAUCAAUCACAAUUGAAGCGAUACACGGGAAGGUACUAAAAAGGA
rnacentral:lncRNA from 1 species